UACAGAGGUCCCGAGCGUUGUUCGGAUUCACUGGGCGUAAAGGGUGCGUAGGUGGCCAUGAAAGUCUGAUGUGAAAUCUCCGGGCUUAACCCGGAAAAUGCAUUGGAUACUAUGUGGCUGGAGGUUUGGAGGGGGGACUGGAAUUCUCGGUGUAGCAGUGAAAUGCGUAGAUAUCGAGAGGAACACCAGUGGCGAAGGCGGGUCCCUGGACAACACCUGACACUGAGGCACGAAAGCUAGGGGAGCAAACAGG
rnacentral:rRNA from 1 species